rnacentral:rRNA from 1 species
UACGUAGGGGGCAAGCGUUGUCCGGAAUCAUUGGGCGUAAAGCGCGUGUAGGCGGUUCGGUAAGUCUGCUGUGAAAGUCCAGGGCUCAACCCUGGGAUGCCGGUGGAUACUGUCGGACUAGAGUGCGGAAGAGGCGAGUGGAAUUCCCGGUGUAGCGGUGAAAUGCGCAGAUAUCGGGAGGAUCACCAAUUGCGAAGGCAGCUCGCUGGGACGUUACUGACGCUGAGACGCGAAAGCGUGGGGAGCAAACAGG